CUCCUCGUAAAUUUUUUGAGGAAUGGUUAUCUGAGGUGCAAUUUGGGUUUUUUGUGUGCUUCAAACCACUAGUAUAUAGUUUUAUUGAUGAAAUUUUAGAGAAAAGUCAUAUAUUUUUAUUAUGACAUCAUAGAUUUCUAGGGGGGGGAAUUUGGCUGGGGGUGGGAAAUCCCAUGCAGGGCGCCCCCCUCUCUGUAUGAAACCCUGCUGAUCAUGACAAUCGUUUGAGUCUUACUAAAAACAUUUGCAAUGUGAAAAUUGCUAAGGUUGGCCUAGUCUCAUGAAUCAGCCGCCCUUCCUAGAGACCGCCUGAGCAUUUUUUUGGCUAGGCCGGAAUACCAACUUGACCAAUCAGACAAAAUAGAGGAAAUAAAGGAAAUAAAGAAUGACAAGAAGCAUAUGCGUUAUACGCAUAUGGGACGCAUUUAUAGUCCGCCUACAGUCUACACUAAGACUCCAAAUUUGGCUUCAAAUGAUGUAAUUGUGGUUAUGCAUCAUAGUGAGUAAAUUUCCUUGCGGUUACAUAACAACUGUUUGUGGCUUGUAAAUACUACAGUAAUUCUCCGUAAAUUUAAUUAUGGCUUCUGUUACAUCAUUGUUUACUAUCAGAAUUGGAUAAAGAAACAGUUUUUCCAGCAUUCAUAUAUACUUUACCCAGGUCCUGAAGUGCAAGCCAGGUUCCAGAGUCACAGUACUAGUAAAUGUAGCUAUAUUAUUCAUGAACUGGCCACAGGAAAAUUAGGAUCCAGAACUGGGGAGUACUAAUUUGCCCAGAAAUCAAAGUCAGUCCAAACAGGAUAAUUAUAUCCAAUAAACUAAAAUUUUAGCCAAUGUUAGUACACAAGACCUUCUAUAAAAAAAUAUUGGUAAAGCGGAUGCUGUUUAUUUCUUUGCAAAGACUAACUUCUAGCAUUCUAUUAGCAAGAAACUCUGGACACUCAAGUGGCAAGUAGGCAAGAGCUAUAUAACUUACUCAUUUUUGUCAAUGUUUACUUUCAAAUUGUUGUAUCUUAGUUAAACCUGGGUCAUUAGUGUUGGUCUACUUGUAGUUACCAGUGUUGUCUAUAGUCUAGGUCUAUCUGUAUCUGUCCAGCACCCCGAGUACUGAUUUGCCCAGAAAUCAAAGUCACAGACAAAAUUAGUUUUCUUUCAUUCAAUGUAAAUUCAGUUCCUUCUUACCACUUUAUUUUUAUAUCAUUCAGUAGCUUAUUUAUUCAGCAUUAUUUCUAUAGUGUUAGGCACCUUCUGAUGAAUGGCCUGUGCAACACUUUUCUUGGUUUGUUUAGCAACAGUCAUGGAGCAAGCCAAACAAAAAUUCAUAGCUGCUAGUUCACUCAUAAACGCUUCUUGCAAGCAUUCGCGAUUGACUUUUUGCAUGCGUUGUAUUCUUCCAGUUUUAACACUGGCGUAAUAACUCCAAUGACCCAAUCUAAAGUGCUCAGACGGUAUCCCCCCUAGCUAUAGGAAGGACGGGUGAUUCAUGAGACUAGGGUUAGCUGGAGAAAGCAAACUAACCUGCAAAAUUAGUGGUGCCAAUCGGGACAUUCCAUGUCAACUCAACACAAAAAAAUGAGCACCCUCUCCAAAACUUGGCAUAUACAUCAGGGCCGUAAUUAAGAACCAAGGGGGGCUGUUGCCCCUCCCACUCUGAAAACCAGGGGGGCAGAGCCCCCUGGUUUUCAGGCAGUGAAAUGGGGUUGGGCUCCUCUUCAGAGUCCAGCAGAUCACAGUCCUGAUAUUUAUGCCUCGGUGCGCAUGCGCAAGCGAGGUAUAUGGUAGUGUGUGUGUGUGUGUGUGUGUCUGUCUGUCUGUCUGUCUGUCUGUCUGUCUGUCUGUGUAGACUGCUACAGCUGCAAUGAAGUGCAAGUAAGAGUUUCUAUAGGCUUCUAGUCAUGUUUUCUUGGAUUUUAAUUCGUGGAUUUGCAAAAUAAUGCUUUGUUCUCGAGUUAUGCCUAGUUUUGCUUUACUUGGAAUGCCAUGCAUUGCAGCCUUUCGGAAGAGCACGUAGCCAAACUUGUUUACCGAGUGUUGUUAUACUCUACUUAGUAGUUAGCUCUGCACUAGAACGCUAGCUAUUGGUAGCUGCAAGAGUGAAAAGAGAGCUGCAAGGCUCUGCUGACUUCAUCGAUCGUUUUUAACAACAAUCAUCGUCGAUCAUUACCCACUCUUUGAGUUUCCCUGGAUUUUGCAUGCAAAAAUGUUCAUCAUGAUAAUUAUAAUCAAUGUGUGUAUAAAGCUAGCUUAGUAGCUUUAUGUUAUGUAGCUUUGGCAUCUCCACGGAGGCAUCAACACCUGUGGUAUAAUUUAUAUGUUUGUGUAGGGAGCACCUCGAGAGGCUAAUGGCCUACUGUGCUUCCCUUUCCUGUGUGUUGGAUAAAUCUGAUCUAGGCUAGCUAGCUGGACCUACGUACGUAACUAGUACCUAGGCUAAUUUAAAGUGCAUAGGUCAACUAGAUCUAUUGCUGUUGCUGAGUCAGCUCCUUGAGCAAUGUUUUGUAGCCUCGAUCCCAUGCCCAUAUGGGGUGCCGUUUGUCUCAAAACUAAUAAAGAGUCGAUAUUUACCAACGAGGUGGAUGUUUACCUACCAGAUCGAUGUUUAGAGACAAAUUUAUGCUUAUCAGAUCGAUGUUUAGCAACCAGAUCUUUGCAGACCAGAUCGAUGUUUAGAGACCAAAUCGAUGUUUAGAGACCAGGUCGAUGUUUAGCAACCAGGUCGAUGUUUAGCAACUAGGUCGAUGUUUAGCAUGCAACCAGAUCGAUGUUUAGCAAAGCUACCAGAUCGCACAAAGUGCAGAUAUUAGGGCGUGGUUUCUUGUGAUACUUAAUGUGCUAGCUAGUUGCAAGAUGUUAUAGCCAUUGCUCUUACUACUGCUGUUACAAACAGCGGUUUACUUAGUAGAUUCUGAAGAUGAAAAUAGCACUGGCUAUAAUUAGGCAGUAGGGCCUAGGAGCGGCAUUCACAGGGCCGUAAGAACCAGGGGGGCAGAGCCCCCCUGGUUUUCAGACAGUGAAAUGGGGUGGGGCUCUUCUGCAGAGUCCAGCAGAUCACAGUCCUGAUAUUAUAUGUGCCUUUUAAUCUAACCACAUUGGUUAAAUGCAUGUGGUUUGUUGCAACAACACUGUACAGUAACUAAAGUAAGUUGAUCCACAUGCAGCUGAACUUUAUAUAGCUAGAGCUCACUAUGGCACAAUAUUCAUUCUUUAUUUUCCUCCGUACCUCACUGCCUGCCCAUGACGAAGAAGGUAUAGGCGAACUAAGACCUUCUUCUUGCGAAGCUCGAUGACUUCCCAGCGUCUAUACUUACUUUAUAUACACAAGUUGCUAACUGAUUCGCUUGACUUUGAAGCAGUUGCUCGUGGCUUUGCUUCUACUAACACACGUCGAAUAAACAAUUUUGCUAUAGCUCUCACAUGCAGAUUAUUUCAUUAGUAAAACCAUAGGUUUUACAUAGGAUUGGCAGUGGUCCUAGCAAUUUUUCACAUUGCAAAAAUGUUUUUCUAGUCGGCAGUCGAACGGCCAAGACCCGGAAGUUCAAUGUAAAUGCCGUACACUUAUUUAAGUAUGCAUUAUGCAUUACAUCAUUGCUUGAGUUAGUUCGAGAAAGAAGGUUGACUUCAGUACUGCAUUGUGCAGAAGAGAAUAUUCAAGAGCAACUGUGACUAUCAUAUCCAUGUAGAUCAUCACAAGAGCUACAGUUUGAGGCAUCACUCGAGGCAAAUGCUCUUACAGAAGCCACACUACACAGUGUCAAAGAAGACAACUACAUUUUAGUGCGGUAGCUUCCAGCGUUAUAUUUUCAGUUCCCAAGCAUAUGAAGCAGAUCUGAUCAAUGAGUACUGUAAAGCGUUGAUGUCAAUCACCACUGAAGAUGUUCGCUAUUUUACACUGAGGAUACCCAUUGUGCUCACUCUCUUCCAGUAUCUGGACAAGUCACAAAAAGGUGAUAUCAAGCCUCUGAAUGACAGGACAUCACCGCUGUGAGACUCCAACACUACUUCUAGACAAACAUUUAUUCUUAUUACCUUCUGUGUUUGUUGAAAUGUAUCAUAUGCACCUUACAUAUUGUUGUUUGGCCAACAAGCAUUGAGU